rnacentral:rRNA from 1 species
AUUGAACGCUGGCGGCAUGCUUUACACAUGCAAGUCGAACGGUAACAGGCCUUCGGGUGCUGACGAGUGGCGAACGGGUGAGUAAUGCAUCGGAACGUACCCAGAGGUGGGGGAUAACGCAGCGAAAGCUGUGCUAAUACCGCAUGUGAUCUGAGGAUGAAAGCGGGGGACCGAGCAGCAAUGUUUGGCCUCGCGCCUUUGGAGCGGCCGAUGUCGGAUUAGCUAGUUGGUGGGGUAAAGGCCUACCAAGGCGACGAUCCGUAGCUGGUCUGAGAGGACGACCAGCCACACUGGGACUGAGACACGGCCCAGACUCCUACGGGAGGCAGCAGUGGGGAAUUUUGGACAAUGGGCGCAAGCCUGAUCCAGCAAUGCCGCGUGCGGGAAGAAGGCCUUCGGGUUGUAAACCGCUUUUGGCAGGAACGAAACGGUGUCCGCUAAUACCGGGCGCUAAUGACGGUACCUGCAGAAUAAGCAUCGGCUAACUACGU